rnacentral:lncRNA from 1 species
GCCGCUUGCUAUUUUCGUCUGCGCUUUUAGCUUAAUUCUUUUGUCAUCUUGUGAAAAAUUAUCAUACUGAUCAUGCUGAGUAUUCUGCCCUUCUCAAGAGGAUGCUGUCUCUUCCUUUUCGCUGCUACUAUGCAUGGGUUGACCUCCUUUGUGCCAAUUAGUUAUUGAUCUCCUACAAUCAUUAACCAAUAGAAAACUUGGUGUCAAAUUUAGAAUGUGAAAAAUACACCAUAUUGAGGUGAUAUUGGCAUUUGAAGCAUAAAGAAAGCCCUUCUGAGAAGGGUAAAAGGUUAUAGUUAGUCAAUUUAGUUUGUUUAUACAAUACACUCAAACUGAGAACAACAAAUGUUUAAAAUUUGACGAACAAAUUCCAUUCCAAGCUACUAUAAGUACAAUACAGGAUAAGCCCAAACUUUGUAAAUGAAUGAGAAGAUUUUCCUGCCAGUUUUCUGGCUCUUACUAUAAACUUGCAUGCCAUAUUUAUCGUUAGAUGCUCUUAAAGCACCUGGCUCCUGAACACAUCUUCUUUAAGCUGUGAUCGUCUCUUAUAGAACCUGGCUCCUGAAUACAUCUUUUUAAAGCUGUAAUCGAAUAGUUUAAAUACAGUUGCCAACUAGUUAGAUUCGGAAUGCAAGAGAGCUUGCUGAGAUGUUUAGCUGGUUAUGCAUACCUUUCGAAGUAGGCGUGAUGUUUCUUGAUUGCUUAAUCUGUGCUUGUACAGGCAUUGUUUAACCAGUACGGGACAGUGGUAUAAUAAGUAUAUCAGUUUUAUGGUUUUGUUUAUUAAGAACCAGUGCCCCAAGUUGUAGGGAACUCAAUUUCUGCUAUAGCUCAUAUGUAAACAGUAAUUGUUAACAAUCUGCUGGAGGAGUAAAUAUCUUUUGUUGCAGUCUAAAAGGGAGUGCCGUCGAAGUGCUUUCUUCCGACACUUCGCUGAGCCUUUACAAGAAUGCAAUGGUAUGGUUAACUUCUUAAGUUGGAUACUAAUGUUAACUUUUCACAAUAGCCAGAAGAGCUCCACAACUUCACUUGACCUUCAUCUUGCUCAGGAAUGUGCGACAACUGUGCCUUUUCAAAUGAGGUGGAAGAGCUGGAUGUCUCAAGUAUGUUGUUUUGACUUCUGUACUUGUAAAUCUUCUAUUAUGUCUACGAGUUGUCUAAAACUAUGGCUUUACCUGGUUAGUCUGUCAUUUGCAGUCUUCGCUAAUUAUCUUAGUUUUAGUUUCCAACCAUUUUUUUGGAAUUCAUAUGAUCCUUUUGAUCUGAUAGUAAAUUGCUGAUAUAUAUGAGCAGUAACAGAUGUUCUCUUUCUACAGUCUCCAACAUAAUUAAUGAUUAUCCUAGUAACAAAAUGCACAAGUUGCAAACCAAUUGGUGAGCUAGGUGAAUUUUCACAUGUUGUUUGGGCGAGUGUUAGAUACAAAGACCCCGAUGAUUAAGGGUAUCUUUUAUCAAAAUAUUAAGGAACAGUUUAUAAAGAUCUACUCCACUAAUUGACUUACGGUUGCUUUGGAUGCUCAAAUUCUUUGACAACUAGUUGUGGUUUAAGAAAUCAUGGUAUUAGAUUUCUAAGCUCUGUUUCCUUUUAUUGGGCACAAUAAAUUAUCAUUGUUAUGACUGCUCUGUACCACAAUUAAAAAGCUAUCAUCCUUUCCAGACUUUCAUAUCUACAAUGAGAUGUUCAAACUUAAUAUUGUUUCCCCUUUGGAAGUAACUUUCUCCUUAUGUUUUUAUUUGCAUGCAGGUCAUGCAAAACUCAUUGUGUCUAUGCUGAAAGAUAUACAAGAGAAUGAUCAGAGGGUCACAAUGUUGCAACUAGUGGAAAAACUAAAGGUUAAGCAGAAGAACCUAGGUAAGCUUCACACCAUCAUGGUAUUGCUAAAGUUUUGCAUUUCCUAGAGAAAAAGAAGUCCAAAACAGAGUCUUGAGCAAAAGUAGUCUCAGUAUAAUUAGGCCAAAUCAAUGCUUUCAAUCAAGGGAAAAUAUGGCUACUAAAAGUAGCUUUUCCAUGGCUAUAGCUUCAAUCUCUUGUCCCCAAAGCUGGAUUAUGUCCCCCCAUUAGCAGGAGUGAGUUCCCCAUUCUUUCAUCGUCUUGGUCAAUGCUUAUAUUGAAAACUUAACGUCUGUGCAACUGAGCAGAUUCUUUCCAAAUUCAUUAUUCAUUAUCUCUCUGCUACUCUUUGCUUUUUAAUUCUCUUAUUUUGCUUGCAAUAUUAAGAAUAAUGGACACAAAACAAGAUAAUGUUUUCUUCUUGGUAUUUACCCAGGUCCCGAUCUGAAAAAAGAUGAGUUGGAGCACCUUGUCAUCAAGCUUAUUUUGGAUCAUGUUCUUGUAUGGACUCUUUUCCUUUACUAAUAUAUUAGAAUAGGCUUUUGACACUCCAGCAACAAAUGUAAAAUUUUAUUCCUAGAACAUAUGCUAGCUUAUCGAGGAUGGAGAACGCGUAGGGUGAAAUUCAAUAUUGUCAACAUUGUUUUUGUCAAAACGAGUUACAGUCUUAACUUGCAGACAGAGAUGUGAUAUAAUCUGUUAUGCAUCACGGAAUUUGAGUUCGAUGAUUCCUGUUUUAUUUACUAAAAUUGCUCAAGCACUGCUUGUUAUUUAAAUCCCAAGGUUGUUGUUUCAUGGCUUGCUGUACUCAUGACCAUAAUCUUCAGCUUUUUAAUCUUUAUUUUUCUUGUCAGAAAAGCCGAGAACAGAAGUGGAAAAUAAUUGGGAAUAUGAGUUUCUAUCUUUUCUUUCCCAACUCUGCUUUUCGAUAAGGACUUACUUCGAAUGCAAUUUGUUAUCUAGCAUUGCAAACACUCUUAGAAUUUUAAAUGUAAAGUUGUUAAAAUUUAGGAAGAAAUGAGAGUAAUAGAAGCUUCUCCAAUCACUAUCCUUUCAUUCUUUUCUGUGCUCCUUUGCACCCAGAAUUUACUUAUUUAAGAAACAUGUGAGCUUGAGAGAAGGUACCUAUGUUCUUUCUGUAAAUACAUUUGGUAACUGAACGGAAGUUCAAUGGUGAGUACCUUUCAUGUGGCAUUUGAUUUUUGUGUAUUUAGGGUUCGGUCUUUGCAUUUUUACAAUUUUUUUCUUAGUGCAUAUGCCUUUUGCAAGUUAAUUCUUCACUCUUUUUCCUUAAUAUUCUGGUUAUUGAGGGGUAAUCUAAUCAUCUAAGAUACAUUGAAUUUGACUUGAGAAAAUAGAUAACUCAUUCAUGAAACCAUAGUUUCUUAAGUCUACAUCUGUAUCCAAUUUCUUACUGCGUCUACUUUUAUUGAUGAUGUCAAUCACUGGUGCCUAGAAUUUUCUAGUUGAUGACACUGUCUUGUCAGUCUCUGAUCUUUGGUGAUUUGUUUUUUGUCUAAAAAGUUAUUUUCAUUGGUAUUCCCUUUUUCUAUUUUCUUAUGGUUUUAGUCAUAUUUAUAUAUUUAAUGUUGAGAAAAAAAUCUUGAUAUUUAAAUGGAGAAGGGUAGAAGGCAGGUCCAUCCAAACUAUACACUAACUGGACCUGGGGGGUUUCUCAGUUGUCUUAAAAGAACACCGACAAAAAAGGAGUUCACUUUCAUGCCUUGACAAAUACAACUUGCUUCAUGGUUUGGAAACCAAAAACGCCUUCACUGUUGCAUACCAAUACAUUGUUAUUUGUGCUUCUAUGUUGCAUGUAUACGCAUUUCUCUGUCCAGAGAAAACUAAGGAAUUACUCAAAUUAGCUAACCAACAAUUUGUCUGAUGUUGCUGUAUAUAUUAGUGGUAUCUAUUUAGCUGCCACCUCAAAAAGCUCCAUAUUUUCCGAGUACAAAAUUAAAUUUGAGGAAAACAAUUUUCAAGUGUUAAGGUGUGAUCCAAGUUUUGGCGAGGGUGUUGUAGAAUCUAGGUUUAAGAUGUAUUUUCUGUUUAUUUAUAGAUUAAAGGGAAAGUAGUAUUUGUGACAUGCCCAGGAGUACAAACUUCAAAGCAUAUAAAAUUAAAAUUUUCCUUUUCCCUUAAUUUUUAUUUUUCCCCUUUCCUCCUGUGCAGCAGAAACAAGACAGUGAAUAAUGGAUAUGGAAGUGUUUCCGCUUUUACGUCCUUUCCCUUCUCUAAGCUUUGAACUAACAUCUUUGUGCCUUCUCCGUCAUGCAGAAAGAAGAAUUUCAGCAUACUGCCUAUGCAACAAAUGCUUAUGUCACAGUAGGACCUCUGGCAAAGCUAGUAUUGCAAGGUGAGUACCCUUCUCUUUCCAGAUACGCAAAUAUGCAGCAACUCAACCAUCAAGAUGACAGCCUUCAAAUUGCAGGGGCUAAGGCAAAGUUAAGCACCCCUGUUAUUAGCAUGAGGAACAAAUUGUAAAGGAUAGUGUAAAGAAGAAAGAGAAAGGAGCUUUUGGGAGUGUUUCAGCAUUGAUUAUUCCUUUCUGUUAUUAGUGUGAGAAAGAAUGAAGAAACCCUCGUUCUGAUGUUUUCUUAUACAUUGCUUAAAGGGAUUGUCUUAAUUGUGAUAAUUAUGAAAAUUUUUAUUAAUCUUCUGCUAGUAAAAUGAGUAUAAAAGUAAUUUCAUUCUUUUCUUUUGCAAUUAGACACUUUCUUUGUUCUCGAGAUGAGCAAAGUGCGAAUUUGAGUAUUUUGUGGUUUGGUCAGUCAAGUUUUAUGGCAAAGUAGUUUUGGAAAAAGUUUUUUAGCAAAGUUUUUGACUCAUUUAGUAUUCAAGCUGAGUUUGAGCUUGGCGUGAAAGAAUGCUCUAUGUCAAAGACCAGGCGCAAAAAUUUUGGCUAAGCCAGCUAUUUAUUAUCUCUGUUACAGACAAAUCAAAGAAAGGAAAAGGGCUUCAAGUUAUCUAACUUCUUUUUCUGGUUAACUUUCAGGUAAUAAAACUAUUAAGUUUGAGAUGUCAACUAGACGGUCAAGGACCUCAAGCAGUAUGAAAUCAUCCAAACGAGAAAGAUCAUCAGGAUUGGAUGAUAAGCUUGAUGAGCUGCGAAAGGAACUCGCAUCAAUCCAUGGCGGGAUAUUCCCUCAUUCUGUAUUAUCUACACAACAAAUCAGUACAUUGAGCUCACAGAAACCAAAAUCAAUUGAAGAGGUGCAUUCCUACUGCUUUUCUUACAGUUGAUGUUUUUGAACUUCCACUUUUGGUGCUUCGUUACUUGUUAUCUGUUAUAGUUUACUAAAAUCUUUGGAAAGUGGAAUUUGAACUUUUUUACCUCCAACAGUCUGGUAUUCCUUUCCAUCCAUGUUAAAGUAAUGCUUUUGAUGAAGGUGUCCAUGUCAAAGUUAUAUCUACUUGGCUAAAAGGAAAAUCUAGAGACUGGUACUGUUAUCCACUAAAAUUCUGGACCUCGCUUCUACUUACAACAGCAACAUACCCAAUGUAAUCCCGCAAGUGAGGUCUGGGGAGGGUAGAAUAUAGCAGACCUUAUCCCUACCUUUGUGGGCUACGGAGGCUGGACCCUGCUUUUACUUCUCUCAUGAAAUGAUCCUAUUCUAAAAGAUCAAGAAAAGUAAGCAAUAGCUUCAACAAAAUUUCCUCAAAGUUCGCAUUUUUAACUUACUGUAGUAAUAGUGCCAAAUCAAGUGGAGACAUUCAUUGGGACAGAUCAAUAACAUAAAAAGUGAGUCCCAAUUUGAGCAUCUGGUAAUAAGAUGGAGUGUUGAAUAGGAAAGUUCUUGCUUUUUCGGACAAAUAGAUAGUUUUUGGGUAUGACCAAAGAACAGAAGUAGGACAGGUACUCAACAUAAAGAUUUCAGAUUUUUCAUUGGUAUAAUCUAAGGGCUUAGGACUUGCAGAGUAAUUGUACUUACUGUAUUCUUCGUGUGCAUGCGACAUAAUUAUACCAACGCAUGCUCAUUUAUGGCGUGUUACGUAGGUAAAAUGUAGAGAUGUGAUGUUUGUUCAGUUAUGAAAAUGUAAAAGUUCUUCUAGCUUAGAGCUAAGACUGCUAUAGUUUACACGAUCACAUUGAUAGUGCAGCCUUAGAGCUUCUUAUGUGAUGCAAUCAUCUGAAUACUACAAUAUGCAAUAUGCUUAUGCAGUUGGAGAAGAUAAUUGGCAAGUUGAAGACCGAAAAAUACGGAAGCAGAAUUCUUGAAGAGAUUGCUAGUUAUGAAUCUGAUCCCCAACAAGAUGCAGAAGGAAUCAAAGAGACAAAAGCCAAAGUUGUUAAGAAGUUGAAAACCAAGAGAACUGUUGUAGUCCUUGAAAGUAGUGAAGAUGAAGCAUGAAAAAACAUAGCGUAUUAGGAAGGCUAUUCGAAUAUGAUGUGAUAGUGCUUGUGCCUAAUAUCUAUAAAUUUUGUAUGAAGUGGCCUUAUUUUCACCAAAAUUUAACCUAGACUAGUCUGUACAUAUUAGGUUAUGAUUCAUUCACCUGGGGAGGCAUAAUUUUGAUAGAAGCCAACCGUGGAAGAGACAAAUGUGUCCUUUUC